rnacentral:miRNA from 1 species
UUGCAUAGUCACAAAAGCGAUU